rnacentral:rRNA from 1 species
CACGAAGGGGGCUAGCGUUGCUCGGAAUCACUGGGCGUAAAGCGCACGUAGGCGGGUCUUUAAGUCAGGGGUGAAAUCCUGGAGCUCAACUCCAGAACUGCCUUUGAUACUGAGGAUCUCGAGUCCGGGAGAGGUGAGUGGAACUCCGAGUGUAGAGGUGAAAUUCGUAGAUAUUCGGAAGAACACCAGUGGCGAAGGCGGCUCACUGGCCCGGUACUGACGCUGAGGUGCGAAAGCGUGGGGAGCAAACAGG